rnacentral:rRNA from 1 species
UACGAAGGGGGGCUAGCGUUGUUCGGAUUUACUGGGCGUAAAGCGCACGUAGGCGGAUCUUUAAGUCAGAGGUGAAAUCCCAAGGCUCAACCUUGGAACUGCCUUUGAUACUGGGGAUCUCGAGUCCGGGAGAGGUGAGUGGAACUCCUAGUGUAGAGGUGGAAUUCGUAGAUAUUAGGAAGAACACCAGUGGCGAAGGCGGCUCACUGGUCCGGUACUGACGCUGAGGUGCGAAAGCGUGGGGAGCAAACAGG